rnacentral:rRNA from 1 species
UACGUAGGGUGCGAGCGUUAUUCGGGAUUACUGGGCGUAAAGCGUGCGCAGGCGGUUUUGUAAGUCUGACGUGAAAUCCCCGGGCUUAACCUGGGAAUUGCGUUGGAGACUGCAAGGCUGGAGUCUGGCAGAGGGGGGUAGAAUUCCACGUGUAGCAGUGAAAUGCGUAGAGAUGUGGAGGAACACCGAUGGCGAAGGCAGCCCCCUGGGUCAAGACUGACGCUCAUGCACGAAAGCGUGGGGAGCAAACAGG